GUCGAAUUGCACAUCUACCCUGAACCUCCCAUCGGUAAUUGAAGAGAGCCAGACGUUUUCGGAGCGUUAUCAUGAAAUUCUGUCGGUCGGUUUUGUGUCGGCGGUAGCCCAUUUUUCACAGGCGACGACGAAAGAUUCUUCAGCAAAAUGAGAAACUCGCGAUGGACACGCGACGCUAAUGCACGACAGGGACGAAAAAACGGACGAAGAAGAGUUGCUGAGAAGGCAUAGUGGGCUGGAGGACCAAGUGGUGACACAACGGAUGAUUCCACCGAUCUGUAACAGCAGGUUAUAAUGGUAUAUCGUAUGUACAUCUCAGUGGAAGUGCGCGGCCGUUUAGAUUUUAAGGCCCGAGAUUUCGAUGGUGCACAUGCCAGGGUAGCGAGCGAACAACAUAUGCUUUCCUCCUUGAGUCGUUCGUAUUAAAAGGUUGUAGCUGACGUGGCGUACCUUUCCACCAGGGUCGCGUCAAAGGUGACAUGCUCAACCCUGCGGACCUCGUGGGUCUUAAAGAAUGAGUGUAGGACGUAUCAAGGAGUUUAUACCUGAUUAAUGAGCCUUCAGGCUCAUUUAAGAGUUAAGCAUCAGACGGCAGCGCCCCAAUGAAUCGUUAUUCUACUGGAUCUCGUCUAGUGGUGGUGGUCUACGUAACUGGAAAUCGUCAAUUGGUCGCUCGGAGAACCGAUACUGAAACGUCACCGAUGUUCCUAUCGGGUGAUUCGCAACGAUUGGACGAAGCUUAAAAAUGACAGAUUUUGGACUCGGACGGAAACGAAACGCUCAGAAAUGUUUGCAAAUUUCGAAGACGAUAGUCACGCAUCUGCUGAACGUGGCCAAGGAACUGUUCUCGAAGCCUUUGAUUCUGAUUCGCUGCUUUU
rnacentral:lncRNA from 1 species